rnacentral:rRNA from 1 species
UCAAACGAGAGUUUGAUCCUGGCUCAGAAUCAACGCUGGCGGCGUGCCUAACACAUGCAAGUCGAACGAGAAAGUCCGCAAGGAUGAGUAAAGUGGCGAACGGGUGAGUAACACGUGACUACCUGCCCUCGAGUGGGGGAUAACCCCGGGAAACCGGGGCUAAUACCGCAUAAUCUCGCAAGAGCAAAUGCGCAAGCAGCUGGAGGAGGGGGUCGCGGCUGAUUAGCUAGUUGGUGAGGUAACGGCUCACCAAGGCGAUGAUCAGUAGCCGGCCUGA